rnacentral:rRNA from 1 species
GACGAACGCUGGCGGCGUGCUUAACACAUGCAAGUCGAACGGAAAGGCCCUGCUCUUGUGGGGUGCUCGAGUGGCGAACGGGUGUGUAUCACGUGAGUAACCUGCCCUUUACUUUGGGAUAACUUCAGGAAACAGGGGCUCAUACCCGAUAUGAGCUCCUGCUGCAUGGGGGGGGAUGGAAAGUUUCGGCGGUUCGGGACGGACUCGCGGCUUAUCAGCUUGUUGGUGGGGUAGUGGCUUACCAAGGCUUUGACGGGUAGCCGGACUGAGAGGGUGACCGGCCACAUUGGGACUGAGAUACGGCCCAGACUGCUACGGGAGGCAGCAGUGGGGAAUAGUGCGCGAUGGGCGGAAGGCGGGUGCAGCAACGCCGCGUGCGGGAUGACGGCUGUCGGGGUGUAAACCGCUUUCGCCUGUGGCGAAGCGUGAGUGACGGUAAUGGGUAAAGAAGCAACGGCUAACUACGUG